rnacentral:rRNA from 1 species
UACGUAGGUGACCAGCGUUGUCCGGAUUUACUGGGCGUAAAGAGCGCGCAGGCGGUCGUUCAAGUCGAGUGUGAAAGCCCCCGGCUCAACUGGGGAGGGUCACUCGAUACUGAUCGACUUGAAGGCAGGAGAGGGAAGCGGAAUUCCCGGUGUAGUGGUGAAAUGCGUAGAUAUCGGGAGGAACACCAGUGGCGAAGGCGCUCUGCUGGGACCAUAAC